CCUACGGGGGCAGCAGUGGGGAAUAUUGGACAAUGGGCGAAAGCCUGAUCCAGCCAUGCCGCGUGUGUGAAGAAGGCCUUCGGGUUGUAAAGCACUUUCAGUGGGGAAGAAAGCCUUGGGGCUAAUACCCUCGAGGAAGGACAUCACCCACAGAAGAAGCACCGGCUAACUCCGUGCCAGCAGCCGCGGUAAUACGGAGGGUGCGAGCGUUAAUCGGAAUUACUGGGCGUAAAGCGCGCGUAGGCGGUCUGAUAAGCCGGUUGUGAAAGCCCCGGGCUCAACCUGGGAACGGCAUCCGGAACUGUCAGGCUAGAGUGCAGGAGAGGAAGGUAGAAUUCCCGGUGUAGCGGUGAAAUGCGUAGAGAUCGGGAGGAAUACCAUUGGCGAAGGCGGCCUUCUGGACUGACACUGACGCUGAGGUGCGAAAGCGUGGGUAGCAAACAGGAUUAGAUACCCGAGUAGUC
rnacentral:rRNA from 1 species